CCAACCCCACCCUAUUUUCUCCUCCUUUUAAUUGUCAACCCACACCACCCCUGCCCUCUCCCACCCUAAUUUCAUCUCCUUCAACUAUUAAAUUCGUCACCCUCACCCCAUUUCUCCUCCUUCAACUACCAAACACGUCAUCUUCAUCCCAAUUUCUUCUCCUUCAACUAUCAAAUGCGUCAUUCUACCUGCCUCCACAUCUAAUUUCUCCUCCUUCAACCCCCUUUCUCCAUACCCUCUUUUUAGUUAUGAACUUGAGAUUAGUUUUUAAAAAAAUUGAAUUUGAAAAAUUAUAAACUAUCUUUAUGAAAAAAUUAAAAUGAAAUUGAAAUUGAAUCAUUUUUUCGAUGAAUGUCGUCGGAAAUAGAAAUUGAGGGAACUGGCUGAGUCGUAUUUUUCAGCGAGGUGGAAGGAGAUGGGUGGUGGUCGAUUAAUUGCUUAGUUGAUGUUAUUUUUUCGUCGGGAGUCGAUCGAGAUGGAACUUAUUGUUGUUUUUGGCGAUGACUACGUUGGAAUCGACUCAAAGAGGUUGAUUUUGGUGGAUUAGUGAAAUUUUGGGUAUUUAGUCGUUGGUUUGAUUUUAGAGAAUUUAAGGUGAUUUUGGUGGAUUAGUGAAAUUUUGGGUAUUUAGUCGUUGGUUUGAUUUUAGAGAAUUUAAUGUUGGUUUGAUCGAAUUUAUCAGGUAGGAUUGAAUUUUUGAUCCCUGAUUUAUGAUAUUUCCCAGUGGGGAUCGGAUUUGGUCACCGAUCUCAGGCAAGUUUGGGGAUGGAAAAAUUGGUAGUGUUUGAUCGGUACAAAUAACGUCUUUUGACAGAAAUUUGUAAAAAAAAUUUGGAACUCCUUGAGUCCCGUUGG
rnacentral:lncRNA from 1 species